GAAUCAAAAAUGCAUUAGGCAUAUAACAUAUUUAUCUACUCAACUUCGUCUGUGGCGAAGAUCAGUCCGCUGUCAGUCCACCAGUACAGCGCAUUCACCUUUGAUGUUUUCCGGAUUCAGCUAAAAUUCACAAUUUCAUUCACUAUGAGAGCCUGAUGCGAGAAGUCCCAUCUGUUAAGUAAGAUGACUCAUAUGCUACAGUUUAUCACAA
rnacentral:misc_RNA from 1 species